AGUGAGUGCAAGCAGCUGCAGUCCUCAUGGGCCGCCAGCCUCCCGCUUCCUGCAGAGGCGCCCAGAGCUGGAGCUGGUCUGCGCAUGCACUUGGAGGCACGGUAUGAACAACCGCAGAAAUGCCGGCCAACUACGCCAGUUCCCAGAGCCCAGCGUUCUCCUCUCUCCUCUUUCAUUGGUUUCCCAGGAAAGCUGCUGAGGGCGGGAACCCCAGAUGCACAGUUUGGCUCAUAAGCGGGCUGCCUUUCACAGCCACCACUACCCACCCGGGGAGAGCACUGGAUUGUGGCAAACGGGACCUCUUUGUGUGAGCAACCAAGGCCAUAUGCUGCUGGCGAGUGUGGUGGGAUGUAUUUAUAUUGGAUACAGCCUGGAGCCCUGCACUGGAGCUUCUUACUGCCAGGAGAGCUAGUGUGGUGGAGGGGAGAAGCGGUGAAGCCAUUUCUAUCCCAGCAUGCCCAGCAUUUCAGAGAUGACAAGGAAAAUCUUCAUUACCAUUUCAAGAACUGGGAACAAAGAAAAAUCCCGUUCCAGGACGCAAAGGAGGAGAUGCGGGUAGCUGAACAGAAACUUUUGAAGAUUACCAUGGGAAUACACCUGUGAACUUCCAGGUUUGAUCUCAGUUACUCCCUUACUUGAAGAAGGCUUCGAUGAUUCCUCAUGGAGAAAUCCCAGAUACUUCUGCACAUGAUUCAGAGGUCCCUUACAACUGGCUUCAGCCUGCCUUCCAAGCCCUGUCUCUCGCCUCUCCCUUCCUUCACACUGUGCUUCAGCGAGAUUUUAGCCUAUUUUAUUGACAGAGGAGGUGUGAUUUGCAAUAACAAUGCUCUUAAAAAGGAUUACCAUCAUCAUCAUCACCAUCAUCAUCUUCAUCAUCAUCAUCCUUUUGAAGCAAAAGAAUCCAAAAGGAGUAACAGGGAUGACAUUUAAGGUUCAGAAUUCUAUAGGGAUGGUACAGCCCGGGUCCUAAAGCAAGGAUAUUGUACUAUUUUAUCAUCUUGUAGGGUGCAAUGCAUCCAGAAGAUAAAGGCCAAAGAUUAUACAUCAGAGAACCACCAGAAUCUUUCUGUUCUUGCAGGGAGCAUCUUUACUCACAUGGCUAUAGUCACCGAAAUUCCAACCGAGUAAUAAACUAAAUGCCUGGGUGUGGGAUGUUCAGAAGUUUCACUUCUUUGUGUGGUUUGGCUUUGCUCUUAACACACAGGAAAAUUGUUAGCAUCUGAGAGUUCACUUGUCUGGAAAUGGUUAGUUUUCACAUUGCCUUCUUUGCCUUGGGGUUUCUCUGGGGGAAGGUGGGAGGGCAGAUUUUGUCCAGAGCAGUUUCCCACAGAUGAAUGUUCUUUGGCCCUGGAAGGCUCACAGCUGCAUUACU
rnacentral:lncRNA from 1 species